UUCAGGUUUCGACAGCACGAGACAGGAUGGAGCCGGUACAGCAUAGAAAUGCCUUUUCACAGGGACGAUUCGGGAAUGCCUCGUCACUGGGACGAUUUCGGUAAGUUUGUGUUUGCAGAGCUUCGAAUUGCCGAACAAGAUGCGUGACUACACAUUACCAGUGACACACACUGCUCGCGACACGCUGUAUACUGCAUGUGAUACAAGUUUAGAGCUUGAGUCAUGUGAUACUCACUGAAGUCAGUGUCGAAAGCUCAUGCUCCUAAAACAAAAUGAUAUGAUUUACAAAACAGGAAGAAACGAGAAUAUACUCGAAAUUUCGUGAUUUUUAAAUAACUUAAAACAUUGAGUAAAAGAUUGAAAUAAUGAUUAAAUACUUGACAUUACAUGAAAAGCAUCCAAUUAG